CAGUCGCCGCGGGAAUACGUAGGUCCCGAGCGUUGUCCGGAUUUAUUGGGCGUAAAGGGAGCGCAGGCGGUUUAGUAAGUCUGAAGUUAAAGGCAUUGGCUCAACCAAUGUAUGCUUUGGAAACUGUUAGACUUGAGUGCAGAAGAGGAGAGCGGAAUUCCAUGUGUAGCGGUGAAAUGCGUAGAUAUAUGGAGGAACACCGGUGGCGAAAGCGGCUCUCUGGUCUGUAACUGACGCUGAGGCUCGAAAGCGUGGGGAGCAAACAGGAUUAGAUACCCGCGUAGUCCCUGUCUCUUAUACA
rnacentral:rRNA from 1 species